rnacentral:rRNA from 3 species
UUGUCUCAAAGAUUAAGCCAUGCAUGUCUCAGUACAAGCCAAAUUAAGGUGAAACCGCGAAAGGCUCAUUAAAUCAGUUAUGGUUCCUUAGAUCGUACCCACAUUUACUUGGAUAACUGUGGUAAUUCUAGAGCUAAUACAUGCAAACAGAGCUCCGACCGGAGACGGAAGGAGCGCUUUUAUUAGAUCAAAACCAAUCGGUGGCGGUUUCCGUCAUCGUACAACUUGGUGACUCUGAAUAACUUUACGCUGAUCGCACGGUCUCGCACCGGCGACGCAUCUUUCAAAUGUCUGCCUUAUCAACUGUCGAUGGUAGGUUCUGCGCCUACCAUGGUUGUAACGGGUAACGGGGAAUCAGGGUUCGAUUCCGGAGAGGGAGCCUGAGAAACGGCUACCACAUCCAAGGAAGGCAGCAGGCGCGCAAAUUACCCACUCCCGGCACGGGGAGGUAGUGACGAAAAAUAACGAUACGGGACUCAUCCGAGGCCCCGUAAUCGGAAUGAGUACACUCUAAACCCUUUAACGAGGAUCAAUUGGAGGGCAAGUCUGGUGCCAGCAGCCGCGGUAAUUCCAGCUCCAAUAGCGUAUAUUAAAGUUGUUGCGGUUAAAAAGCUCGUAGUCGAAUCUGUGUCCCGCGCCGCCGGUUCAUCGUUCGCGGUGUUAACUGGCGUGCCGCGGGACGUCCUGCCGGUGGGCUUAGCUCGAGAGGGCGGCCCAACUCAAUCCCGCCGCGGUGCUCUUCAUUGAGUGUCGAGGUGGGCCGGCACGUUUACUUUGAACAAAUUAGAGUGCUUAAAGCAGGCUAAAACUUCGCCUGAAUACUGUGUGCAUGGAAUAAUGGAAUAGGACCUCGGUUCUAUUUUGUUGGUUUUCGGAACCCCGAGGUAAUGAUUAAUAGGAACGGAUGGGGGCAUUCGUAUUGCGACGUUAGAGGUGAAAUUCUUGGAUCGUCGCAAGACGGACAGAAGCGAAAGCAUUUGCCAAAAACGCUUUCAUUGAUCAAGAACGAAAGUUAGAGGUUCGAAGGCGAUCAGAUACCGCCCUAGUUCUAACCAUAAACGAUGCCAGCUAGCGAUCCGCCGACGUUCCUCCGAUGACUCGGCGGGCAGCUUCCGGGAAACCAAAGCUUUUGGGUUCCGGGGGAAGUAUGGUUGCAAAGCUGAAACUUAAAGGAAUUGACGGAAGGGCACCACCAGGAGUGGAGCCUGCGGCUUAAUU